GACAGAGGGUGCAAACGUUGUUCGGAAUUACUGGGCGUAAAGCGAGUGUAGGCGGUUUGGAUAGUCGGAUGUGAAAGCCCCGGGCUCAACCCGGGAAGUGCAUUCGAUACUCCCAAGCUAGAGUAUCGGAGAGGUUGGUGGAAUUCUCGGUAUAGAGGUGAAAUUCGUAGAUAUCGAGAGGAACAUCGGUGGCGAAGGCGGCCAACUGGACGAAUACUGACGCUGAGACUCGAAAGCGUGGGGAGCAAACAGG
rnacentral:rRNA from 1 species